rnacentral:snRNA from 1 species
AUCUUUGCUCUUGAGGCAAUGACGCAGUUAGUGAGGUGAAACCGAGACGCGUCAAUUGCUGGUUAAAAACUAUUUCCAUUUCUGGGUGAUCAUGAUUAAAACUAACAAAUCAAAAAGUAUGUGCACACAGUCCCCAUCUGCGUGCACACCAUCUGAUGCUUGACCUUGAAAAUUUUGCGUAUGACUCAAGUUU